rfam:Octopus bimaculoides Scaffold115137_contig_39, whole genome shotgun sequence.
GUACUAGCUUUGGCUGUACAUAUACUAGAAUUAGAAUGAUACAGAGGACAUUAGCAUCGCCCCUGUGCAAGAAUAACAUGUAAAUUCAUGAAGCAUUCCAUAUUUUU